UGUGGUCAUCAUCAUCAGAAGAUUGCAAAUGUGCAAGCCACCUACUUUGAACGAAAUGCAAAGAACCAAAGCUUGAAGAGAAUUAAGCAUGCAUACGCAGAUCGAGGCAAGACAGAUCUGAUUAGUAGUAAAUCAAAUCUAGAAGAGUCUCGUAAACGUAGGCACUUACCGAUCAAAAACGAAGAGAAAGGUUUCUUCUUCCUCCCUGAUCUGAAUAUGGCUGCACCCACUGACGAAGACGAGACUCUGUACGGUACAAGCUAAAGAAAGCAGAAUAGCAGAUAAUAAAAAGAAUGGUGAUUUGCUUCUUUUUUCCGUACAAGUGGUCGGGGGUGAUCGAGUAAGCGAGUUCACCUGCAUGUUUUUAUUAUCACUCAAGAAGGGUAGAAAAAAAAAGGAAGAAAGAAGAAUGUAAUAAGAGAUUUCAUAUUCUCUCUUUUUUUUUUGGUUCUUGUCUUCUCUGUUUUAGUGGAACGAUGUUUCUACUUCUUGUUUUUAAGAAGUAAACGGAAAUUAAAUUAGGCUUUUUCACUCUAUGUUUUUUCCUCGGUCGUUGUAGUUAUAGUACGCAGUUCAAGAAAAAUAUAGGUAACUUAAAUGGACUU